rnacentral:rRNA from 1 species
UACGAAGGGGGCUAGCGUUGCUCGGAAUCACUGGGCGUAAAGCGCACGUAGGCGGAUUGCUAAGUCAGGGGUGAAAUCCUGGAGCUCAACUCCAGAACUGCCUUUGAUACUGAGGAUCUUGAGUAUGGGAGAGGUGAGUGGAACUGCGAGUGUAGAGGUGAAAUUCGUAGAUAUUCGCAAGAACACCAGUGGCGAAGGCGGCUCACUGGCCCAUUACUGACGCUGAGGCACGAAAGCGUGGGGAGCAAACAGG